rnacentral:siRNA from 1 species
GCAGCAGAAACUGAUCACUGCAGG